rnacentral:rRNA from 1 species
CACGUAGGGUGCGAGCGUUUGUCCGGAAUUAUUGGGCGUAAAGAGCUCGUAGGCGGUGUGUCGCGUCGGCCGUGAAAACCUGCAGCUUAACCGUGGGCUUGCAGCCGAUACGGGCAGGCUAGAGUUCGGUAGGGGAGACUGGAAUUCCUGGUGUAGCGGUGAAAUGCGCAGAUAUCAGGAGGAACACCGGUGGCGAAGGCGGGUCUCUGGGCCGAUACUGACGCUGAGGAGCGAAAGCGUGGGGAGCGAACAGG